UUGAGCUGAAAAGUUACACGGGUAAUUGAACUAUUCUACAAUUUUAAGAAGCAAAAUUUUAUUAACCACAAAGCACCAGAACUAUUCUCUCUCUUUGUGAUCCUCCCCUUUUCUCUCUGAACCCUUUUAUUAACCACAAAUUUGUUUUAAGCUUUGAAGCUCUGAAUCCAUAACCCAUGGCUAAUCGAGAAAGGUGAAGGAUGGGACACAAACCCUAACGCAAAAACACGAAACCGCACUGAUUCCAUCACCAACUUCGAAAGCGAAGCCGUUGCAAGUUGGAAAAGGCUUAUUAUGAUGGAUUGCUCAAUCGCCUCCGUAAACACGCAUUAACACCGCGUGACUCUAACCAAACUGUUAGAAAAUUUAUAGGCUGAAAAGUUUUUGUCAGGUUCUAUUUAGCUGCAUAAUUCUAACUUGGAUUAUUGCAUGGUACAUGUUUGUAUUUUUGCUUCAACGAGUCUCUUGCAGGAAAAUUAUACCCUGUCCUUCUACUAAUCCGGGUUGCAUAUCUAUAAAUCCAAAGUCAUUGUCUCCAUACAAAUCCUGUGUUUUUGGGACCAAGAACAGUCAAUUCUUGCAGGGAGUAGCUGUCUUUGUAAUAAUCUGAUAAAAUGAAAGUGAUUCAAUGGGUAGCAAGAACGAAGUUGGUCAGAAAAUGGACAAAGAGUUAUACCAAUCUACUCGCACCUGGCAGAAAAAUGUAUAUAUAUUUGUAUUUAUUAACUUAUCUAUGUUGUUGUCUCUAACAGAACUGUAGUUACUGUUAGUAAUAAACCAUUGUAUCACAUUUCCAUUAGUAAUAAAAUU